rnacentral:rRNA from 1 species
GCCGAUGCGCUGCUAUACUGCAAGUCGAACGCUUCUUUUCCCACCGGAGCUUGCUCCACCGGGAAAAGAGGAGUGGCGAACGGGUGAGUAACACGUGGGUAACCUGCCCAUCAGAAGGGGAUAACACUUGGAAACAGGUGCUAAUACCGUAUAACAAUCGAAACCGCAUGGUUUCGUUUUGAAAGGCGCUUUACGGUGCCGCUGAUGGAUGGACCCGCGGUGCAUUAGCUAGUUGGUGAGGUAACGGCUCACCAAGGCCACGAUGCAUAGCCGACCUGAGAGGGUGAUCGGCCACAUUGGGACUGAGACACGGCCCAAACUCCUACGGGAGGCAGCAGUAGGGAAUCUUCGGCAAUGGACGAAAGUCUGACCGAGCAACGCCGCGUGAGUGAAGAAGGUUUUCGGAUCGUAAAACUCUGUUGUUAGAGAAGAACAAGGGUGAGAGUAACUGUUCACMCCUUGACGGUAUYUUAACCAGAAAGCCACGGCUAACUACGUGCCAGCAGCCGCGGUAAUACGUAGGUGGCAAGCGUUGUCCGGAUUUAUUGGGCGUAAAGCGAGCGCAGGCGGUUUCUUAAGUCUGAUGUGAAAGCCCCCGGCUCAACCGGGGAGGGUCAUUGGAAACUGGGAGACUUGAGUGCAGAAGAGGAGAGUGGAAUUCCAUGUGUAGCGGUGAAAUGCGUAGAUAUAUGGAGGAACACCAGUGGCGAAGGCGGCUCUCUGGUCUGUAACUGACGCUGAGGCUCGAAAGCGUGGGGAGCAAACAGGAUUAGAUACCCUGGUAGUCCACGCCGUAAACGAUGAGUGCUAAGUGUUGGAGGGUUUCCGCCCUUCAGUGCUGCAGCUAACGCAUUAAGCACUCCGCCUGGGGAGUACGACCGCAAGGUUGAAACUCAAAGGAAUUGACGGGGGCCCGCACAAGCGGUGGAGCAUGUGGUUUAAUUCGAAGCAACGCGARGAACCUUACCAGGUCUUGACAUCCUUUGACCACUCUAGAGAUAGAGCUUCCCCUYCGGGGGCAAAGUGACAGGUGGUGGCAUGGUUGUCGUCAGCUCGUGUCGUGAGAUGUUGGGUUAAGUCCCGCAACGAGCGCAACCCUUAUUGUUAGUUGCCAUCAUUUAGUUGGGCACUCUAGCAAGACUGCCGGUGACAAACCGGAGGAAGGUGGGGAUGACGUCAAAUCAUCAUGCCCCUUAUGACCUGGGCUACACACGUGCUACAAUGGGAAGUACAACGAGUCGCGAAGUCGCGAGGCUAAGCUAAUCUCUUAAAGCUUCUCUCAGUUCGGAUUGUAGGCUGCAACUCGCCUACAUGAAGCCGGAAUCGCUAGUAAUCGCGGAUCAGCACGCCGCGGUGAAUACGUUCCCGGGCCUUGUACACACCGCCCGUCACACCACGAGAGUUUGUAACACCCGAAGUCGGUGAGGUAACCUUUUGGAGCCAGCCGCCUAAGGUGAUGAUGUU